rnacentral:rRNA from 1 species
AGAGUUUGAUCCUGGCUCAGGACGAACGCUGGCGGUGUGCUUCACACAUGCAAGUCGAGCGAAUGAAGUAGGUAGCUUGCUACUUAUGGAUUUAGCGGCGGACGGGUGAGUAAUAUAUAGGAAUCUGCCUUAGAGCGGGGAACAACAAACCGAAAGGUUUGCUAAUGCCCCAUAGGUAUGCAGUCUUCGGAUUGUAUAUUAAAGGAGUAAUCCACUCUAAGAUGAGCCUGUAUCCGAUUAGCUAGUUGGCGGGGUAAAGGCCCACCAAGGCUACGAUCGGUAGUUGGUCUGAGAGGAUGAUCAGCCACAAUGGGACUGAGACACGGCCCAUACUCCUACGGGAGGCAGCAGUGGGGAAUUUUACACAAUGGGGGAAACCCUGAUGUAGCGACACCGCGUGAACGAAGAAGCCUUUUGGGGUGUAAAGUUCUGUCGGCUGGAACGAAAAAAAUGACGGUACCAGCAAAGGAAGCAUCGGCUAACUACGUGCCAGCAGCCGCGGUAAGACGUAGGAUGCAAGCGUUGUCCGGAUUUAUUGGGCGUAAAGAGUUCGUAGGCGGUUAUUUAAGUCUGAUGUUAAAUACUGUGGCCCAACCACAGAACUGCAUUGGAUACUGGAUGACUUGAGUGCGGUAGAGGCAAGUGGAAUUCCCAGUGUAGCGGUGAAAUGCGUAGA